rnacentral:rRNA from 1 species
CUCUAGCAAGACUGCCGGUGACAAACCGGAGGAUGGUGGGGAUGACGUCAAAUCAUCAUGCCCCUUAUGACCUGGGCUACACACGUGCUACAAUGGAUGGUACAACGCGUUGCGAGACCGCGAGGUCAAGCUAAUCUCUUAAAGCCAUUCUCAGUUCGGACUGUAGGCCGCAACUCGCCUACACGAAGUCGGAAUCGCUAGUAAUCGCGGAUCAGCACGCGGCGGUGAAUACGUUCCCGGGCCUUGUACACACCGCCCGUCACACCAUGAG